UAACCUUUGCCGAGAGGUAAAGCUGAACGUACAGAAGUCAGUUCGAGUCGUAGUAUCGUAGAAGUCUAUGAAAAUAGAUGGAGAAAAGGAC
rfam:Desulfosporosinus sp. BRH_c37 BRHa_1001857, whole genome shotgun sequence.